UUGCGGCUUUCCUAAUAGGCCCGCUUGUGAGUCUCGCUGCUGGGAUACCACGUCCAAGUGGAUGUUUACUGAAGAAAAACCAGGAGUUGCAGAAAAGCGGACAGGAACAACUUGUCAGAACUCUGAUCCAAUGACUCAUCAAAUUGUACCCACAUUACGCAACCAUUAUCCGGUGGGGAAGAGCGCACCCGGGAAAGAGAGAUCCAGCAGCCUGGCUCCCGACCCUGUGUGGCCAACUGUGUAAUGCUCUCCAGCAAGAAAAAGGAGCCUCUCGACAACAUGGAACGCUGUAAUGAAAGCAAGUUUAAGCCAAUAUUUGUCAAAUAUCAAAUAAUUAUU